AUUGAACGCUGGCGGCAGGCCUAACACAUGCAAGUCGAGCGGAUGAAGGGAGCUUGCUCCUGGAUUCAGCGGCGGACGGGUGAGUAAUGCCUAGGAAUCUGCCUGGUAGUGGGGGAUAACGUCCGAAAACGGGCGCUAAUACCGCAUCCGUUCUGAGGUAGAAAGGGGGGGAUCUUCGGACCUCACGCUAUCAGAUGAGCCUAGGUCGGAUUAGCUAGUUGGUGGGGUAAAGGCCUACCAAGGCGACGAUCCGUAACUGGUCUGAGAGGAUGAUCAGGCACACUGGAACUGAGACACGGUCCAGACUCCUACGGGAGGCAGCAGUGGGGAAUAUUGGACAAUGGGCGAAAGCCUGAUCCAGCCAUGCCGCGUGUGUGAAGAAGGUCUUCGGAUUGUAAAGCACUUUAAGUUGGGAGGAAGGGCAGUAAGUUAAUACCUUGCUGUUUUGACGUUACCAACAGAAUAAGCACCGGCUAACUUCGUG
rnacentral:rRNA from 1 species